AGGUAUACCUGGCCACAGGAAAUCCAGACACAUGCAAAAUCAGAUUUACACAUAGGAUAAAUUAUUUUAAGGGUUCUCUGAACACCAAUGGCUUCAUCCAUCAACUUGAAGCUGCUUCUGCAAAUGUGCACACACUUCCUGAAAAGAUUUAUAAUCCAGCCAAUACGGUACAUUUUGAAUGUGUUACAGAAAGGACAGAUUUACAGGAGACAAUCUGCCUUCAUGACGAUUGCAUAUUGUGGCAUUUCUAGUCCAUAUGGAUCAGUAAGAGUUGGAUAGCAGGCAUUUGACCUUCAAAAUCAUGCAAAUGUGAAACCAGACUUCUCCUCUUACAGCUGCAAGCGUCAGUAGGACUUCUUCAGCUUCUUCUGGGGGAACUGAUUAAAACACAGUUUGACUACAGAGGCGUCCUGAGGUUUGACUACUCCUGUGCUUCUCCUCAGAGAGAAAGGUCUCCCUCUUUGCUCCCUUCCCACACAUCCCCUCUGGCUAACCUUCGCUCAUUAGCACCCAAAUCUCAGCUACUGAUCAUUUAAGAGAGAACUUGCUAACUCCUAGCCACAGGCUAGCUCUGAACAAGACAUCAACCCUUUUUGUUCCCGUCACAGUUAAUCUCCAGGAAUAAGUUCUGAUAGCCUUUGAAAAGGUCUGAACGUAGUUUUCUGUCACAGGCCCUUGGAAGCUAUGCUUUCUCACUUCCAAACCUUGAUAGUGCCAGAGAGAAUCAGACUGUUUAUCUAGCAAUGAUAAUUUUCUGGGUUUAUAGUGUAACAAUUCGCCAAGAUUAUUGGAACAGAAUCACAAGAAGUUAUAUUUGUUAAUCGGCCAACUUUUUUUUUUCCAUUUAAAAAUUCAUUGCAAAAUGGUAUCGCUUUUCUAGAAUGCUGACGAACAGGGCUUGAAUAAAUGCAUUUUUCCAAAGCAAAGAGAAGUUUUGCUUUUUUUUAAAAAAAAAAUACUAAGAUUGAGAGAGAUGAUUUCAAGUUCCCUUCUUCAGAAUUUGGAGAUUUGAGAACCCUACAGAGAGAGGCAGGCUGAAGGAAGUCACAGCCUAAUGACCACAUCUUGCCAAGCUGAGGACAAUAAGAAAACCUAACGAGUAAAAAAAGAAGUCUGGGCAGACUUUGUUUCCAUAGAGAUCAUGAGUACUGGGGAUUUUCCUUUCGUCAUGGCACCUACAGCAUCCUUGGACACUCUUAUUCUAUGAAGGGAUGCCUUACAAGAACAGGCAUUGACCUUUUGGCUACGUAUUGUAAAGAAUUUGUUUGUUUGUUAUUUUUCAUAGUCUUUCUUCAAGGUUAUAUUUCUAGCAAUCUGUUUUUAACUUAUUGUUAACUCUCUUGAUGAUAAAGAAUGUGUUUCUUAUGUCACACAGUUUUUGUAAAAUAAUUGCUUUAUCGGUUUCUUUUUUUUUUCUUCAGACGUGGAAAAUUUCUUGCCUGUCUAGCUUUAAUAAAAUAAAAAAUGUUUGACAAGUGUAAAGUUUAGUGUGUUCUAAUUGCUCAUGAUUAAAAUAAAGUUUCUGGUUUCUUUUAUGGAU
rnacentral:lncRNA from 1 species